UCACGCUUAUUUGACCCUUUAGGGUGGAU
rnacentral:sRNA from 1 species